GAUGAACGCUAGCGGCAGGCCUAAUACAUGCAAGUCGAACGAGAUUAAGAGGCUUGCUUCUUAUGAAAGUGGCGCACGGGUGCGUAACGCGUAUGCAACCUACCUUAAUCAGGGGGUUAGCCCGAAGAAAUUCGGAUUAAGACCGCAUAAAAACACAGGAUAGCAUUAUCCAAUGUUCAAAUAUUUAUAGGAUUAAGAUGGGCAUGCGUGUCAUUAGCUAGUUGGCGGGGUAACGGCCCACCAAGGCGACGAUGACUAGGGGAUCUGAGAGGAUGACCCCCCACACUGGUACUGAGACACGGACCAGACUCCUACGGGAGGCAGCAGUAAGGAAUAUUGGUCAAUGGAGGGAACUCUGAACCAGCCAUGCCGCGUGCAGGAAGACAGCCCUCUGGGUCGUAAACUGCUUUUAUUCGGGAAUAAACCUUUCUACGUGUAGGAAGCUGAAUGUACCGAAGGAAUAAGGAUCGGCUAACUCCGUG
rnacentral:rRNA from 1 species